AACGAACGCUGGCGACGUGGAUAAGACAUGCAAGUCGAACGAUCACUAUUGAGUAGCAAUAUUUGGUAGUGGGAGUGGCGCAAGGGUGCGUAACACGUGGGUAAUUUGCCGUAAAGUCUGGGAUAACUUGCUGAAAGGCGAGCUAAUACCGGAUGUGAUUGCUGGGGGGCAUCCUCUGGCACUUAAAGUCGGGGACCGCAAGGCCUGACACUUUUCGAUAAGCCCGCGGCCUAUCAGCUAGUUGGUGAGGUAACGGCUCACCAAGGCUAAGACGGGUAGCUGGUCUGAGAGGACGACCAGCCACACUGGAACUGAGACACGGUCCAGACACCUACGGGUGGCAGCAGUCGAGAAUUUUUCUCAAUGGGGGAAACCCUGAAGGAGCGACGCCGCGUGGGGGAUGAAUGGCUUCGGCCCGUAAACCCCUGUCAUUUGCGAUCAAACCUUACGACCUAACACGUCGUAAGCUGAUAGUAGCGAAAGAGGAAGGGACGGCUAACUCUGUGCCAGCAGCCG
rnacentral:rRNA from 1 species